rnacentral:misc_RNA from 1 species
AUACACCACUCUUAACAUCAAAAGGGCACUUCACCAGUCGAAACAUAAAGAGCUCACACAGGAAUAAUAUAAAACACUAAUGAAUCAUGCAAAUAUUGCUAGUUAGAUUGGCCCACAAGUUACACCAAUGUGAUGCUGCUCUCACCACCAGGAGGCUUGCGAACACCACCAAAAUAGUCCCUGGAUUCUGACUUUCCAUCAGCAAAGAUAUUACUGCCACUAAUUUCUCUCAGUUUAGCGCUGCUUAGUGGUUUUUCGGCAGAUCCAGGCGGCACAUCUCCCUUGAAAAUAUCAUUGCCUGUCAACUCCUGAAACUUCUGGUUGUGUAUUCUCUUUGAUGUCCUCGCGACAGGUUCUUCACCAAAUAGUAUGUUACUCUGACCUCCGGCAGGAUUAGAAACUUUUACAGAAGUGCGUAUAUUUCGCGGGGCAGGUUUCUCAAUGUCUUUGUUUUCUUUUGAUUCCAAUGUGCGUGCAGCAGCCAAGGAUCGAGGUUUGAUUUCAGGGGAAGGGGCAAAGAUGUCAUGGCCACUGAUCUCCUUGAAUUUUGCAUCUGAUAUCUGCUUUUUACUCUUCAUGUCUGACUCACUUUGCAAAGUCCCACUUAAUUCGCGCUGCUUUGCUACUUCAGGAAGAGAGGUAGGCUUCUUAGGAGAGAUACUCUCUUCAGUAUUAAAUGAUAUUUGACUAAUUCCAUUCAUUGCUUGCUGAUAAACACGCACACUAGUUUUACCAGAUUCAGAUGCAUCACCUCCAACAUUAGCUGCAAAUAUACCACUGCCAGUCAUCUCCUUCAAUUUAUACCCUGAACAAGGCUUCUUUUUCAUGAGACUCUCAGCUUCUUCAUCGGUGACCUGACCUCCAAACAGAACCUUGCUGAUUCUAUCGGAUGGCUGGUGAGAGCGGUGAGCGGCGGCGGUGGGCGCAGAGUCAGAAGGAGGAGCCUCCUUCCAUGUGAGGAGAUCGGCGGUGGAUGUGUGUGGCUUUCUCACCGGUGUGUUUCUCUCCAUUCUUUUUUUUUUAGAAAAUCUGCGUGCGUGCGUGCG